GACGAACGCUGGCGGCGUGCUUAACACAUGCAAGUCGAACGGAAAGGCCCUGCUUUUGUGGGGUGCUCGAGUGGCGAACGGGUGAGUAACACGUGAGUAACCUGCCCUUGACUUUGGGAUAACUUCAGGAAACUGGGGCUAAUACCGGAUAGGAGCUCCUGCUGCAUGGUGGGGGUUGGAAAGUUUCGGCGGUUGGGGAUGGACUCGCGGCUUAUCAGCUUGUUGGUGGGGUAGUGGCUUACCAAGGCUUUGACGGGUAGCCGGCCUGAGAGGGUGACCGGCCACAUUGGGACUGAGAUACGGCCCAGUCUCCUACGGGAGGCAGCAGUGGGGAAUAUUGCACAGUGGGCGGAAGCCUGAUGCGGCAACGCCGCGUGCGGGAUGACGGCCUUCGGGUUGUAAACCGCUUUCGCCUGUGACGAAGCGUGAGUGACGGUAAUGGGUAAAGAAGCACCGGCUAACUACGUG
rnacentral:rRNA from 1 species